rnacentral:rRNA from 1 species
GACGAACGCUGGCGGCGUGCUUAACACAUGCAAGUCGAACGGAAAGGCCCUGCUUUUGCGGGGUGCGCGAGUGGCGAACGGGUGAGUAACACGUGAGUAACCUGCCCUUGACUUUGGGACAACUUCAGGAAACUGGGGCUAAUACCGGAUAGGAGCUCCUGCUGCAUGGUGGGGGUUGGAAAGUUUCGGCGGUUGGGGAUGGACUUGCGGCUUAUCAGCUUGUUGGUGGGGUAGUGGCUUACCAAGGCUUUGACGGGUAGCCGGCCUGAGGGGGUGACCGGCCACAAGGGACCUGCGAGACGGCCCAGACUCGUACGGGAGGCAAUAGUGGGGAAUGUUGCACAAUGGGCGGAAGUCUGAUGCGGCGACGCCGCGUGCGGGAUGCCGGCCUGCGGGUUGUAAACCGCUUUCGCCUGUGACGCAGCGUGAGUGACGGUACUGGGUAAAGAAGCACCGGCUAACUACGUG